rnacentral:rRNA from 1 species
GACGAACGCUGGCGGCGUGCCUAAUACAUGCAGGUAGAACGCACAGUUUAUACCGUAGCUUGCUACACCAUAGACUGUGAGUUGCGAACGGGUGAGUAACGCGUAGGUAACCUGCCUGGUAGCGGGGGAUAACUAUUGGAAACGAUAGCUAAUACCGCAUAAUAUUAAUUAUUGCAUGAUAAUUAAUUGAAAGGUGCAAUUGCACCACUACCAGAUGGACCUGCGUUGUAUUAGCUAGUAGGUGAGGUAACGGCUCACCUAGGCGACGAUACAUAGCCGACCUGAGAGGGUGGUCGGCCACACUGGGACUGAGACACGGCCCAGACUCCUACGGGAGGCAGCAGUAGGGAAUCUUCGGCAAUGGACGAAAGUCUGACCGAGCAACGCCGCGUGAGUGAAGAAGGUUUUCGGAUCGUAAAGCUCUGUUGUAAGAGAAGAACGGGCGUGAGAGUGGAAAGUUCACACUGUGACGGUAUCUUACCAGAAAGGGACGGCUAACUACGUG